AUUGAACGCUGGCGGCAGGCCUAACACAUGCAAGUCGAACGAGUGGCGGACGGGUGAGUAAUGUCUGGGAAACUGCCUGAUGGAGGGGGAUAACUACUGGAAACGGUAGCUAAUACCGCAUACCAUCGGAUGUGCCCAGAUGGGAUUAGCUAGUAGGUGGGGUAAAGGCUCACCGGGGCGACGAUCCCUAGCGGGUCUGAGAGGAUGACCAGCCACACUUGAACUGAGACACGGUCCAGACUCCUACGGGAGGCAGCAGUGGGGCAGUGUGCACAAGGGGCGCAAGCCUGAUGCAGCCAGGCCGCGUGUAUGAAGAAGGCCUUAGGGUUGUAAAGUACUUUCAGCGGGGAGGCGUUACCCGCAGAAGAAGCACCGGCUAACUCCGUGCCAGCAGCCGCGGUAAUAC
rnacentral:rRNA from 1 species